GUGGCGGUGGGAUCCCGCGGCCGUGUUUUCCUGGUGGCCCGGCCAUGCCUGAGGUUUCUCCCUCAGCCGCCCCUCUGCGGGCUCCCAGGUGCCCUUGCCCUCGCGGUCCCCGGCCCUUGCCUGUCUGCGCCCCCUUCCCCGCCCGCCGCCCGCCGAUCCUCUCUCCUCCCCGAGCGGCUCACCGGCUUUACGUCGGUUGGUGGCCGCGUCUGGGACCGAACCGGGCACCGCCUUGUGGAAAAAAAAGAAUAGAAUAUACCCUGUUAAAUCAGACAUGAUACUUGCUUUUGUGGAGCUUAUGCUUUAGUGCAGAAACAGAAAGUCAAGCAAAAACUCAAACUAUGUAACUUUAAAUUGGAUAUGUGCUAAUGAAGGAAAAUGUGGCACUGUAAGAAAAAAUAAUAGGGAGUUAAAGGAUAAAUAGGAGUUUGCUGGAUGAAAUUUAUGAAGAGCUGAAGAUUUCAAACAAAAGAAACUGAUGCAGGAGGGUGCAGCUUUGGAGUCAAGAAUGAAGUUCUAGGAGAUAGAGAGCAAAGAAAUGGUGGGAGAGGAGGUCAAAAAAUACUAGGCUUUAGAAUUUCACCAUAUGAAUUUUGGGAGAGAGGAGCACAGUUCAGCCCAUAACUAACACACGACGGAAUGAAGUUGAUAAUAGUGAGACCUUGUUGGUACAAGACUAUGUAACAUAACCUGCGCUUCUCAACAAAGAAUUGCUUUUCUGACUUCUGCACUCAAUAGCAAGACAAAUCUCUCCUCUGCCUUCUCCUUAUCAGACUACUCAACAUGAAGGCAAUAAGAAUGAAGACCUCUAUGUAUAAUAAUUGACUUCCACUUAAUAAAUAAGGUUACUUGGUACACUGGUCGACAAAACCUUGAAAUGUUGAUGUUUAAGGGCUGUUGAUUGCUGGCAGCAAAGAAGUCCAACUGUGCUGGUACCCGAGAUAGCGUCUCCACAUUUUCUUCCAGGAUC
rnacentral:lncRNA from 10 species